rnacentral:rRNA from 1 species
UACGUAGGGACCAAGCGUUGUUCGGAUUUACUGGGCGUAAAGGGCGCGUAGGCGGCGUGACAAGUCACUUGUGAAAUCUCCGAGCUUAACUCGGAAAGGUCAACUGAUACUGCGGGGCUAGAGUGCGGAAGGGGCAACUGGAAUUCUUGGUGUAGCGGUGAAAUGCGUAGAUAUCAAGAGGAACACCUGCGGCGAAGGCGGGUUGCUGGGCCGACACUGACACUGAGGCGCGAAAGCGUGGGGAGCGAACAGG